UAGAGCUAAUACAUGCGAGAAGCGCCGACCUCGCGGGAGGCGUGCAUUAUCAGACCAAAAACCGGCCGCGUCUUCGGGCGCGUUCGCCUUGGUGACUCUGGAUAACUUUGCGGAUCGCACGGUCUAGCACCGGCGACGGAUCAUUCAAGUGUCUGCCCUAUCAACUUUCGUCGGUACGGUAUUUGCCUACCGAGGUUCUUACGGGUGACGGGGAAUCAGGGUUCGAUUCCGGAGAGGGAGCCUGAGAAACGGCUACCACAUCCAAGGAAGGCAGCAGGCGCGCAAAUUACCCAUUCCCGACGCGGGGAGGUAGUGACGAAAAAUAACAAUGCAGGACUCGUUCGAGGCCCUGUAAUUGGAAUGAGUACACUUUAAAAGCUUUAACGAGUAUCCAUUGGAGGGCAAGUCUGGUGCCAGCAGCCGCGGUAAUUCCAGCUCCAAAAGUAUAUAUUUAAGUUGUUGCGGUUAAAAAGCUCGUAGUUGGAUUUUGGGCGCAGGCGGCCGGUCCGUCGCAAGGCGUGUACUGGACGUCCUGGCCUUCCCUCCGGUUCUCCGCCGGUGCUCUUGACUGAGUGUCGGCGGCGGCCGGAACGACGCCGGCCGAAGCGGGCCGCGAGGCCCGCGUUAGCUGCGGCAUUCCACGGGAAGACGACGACACAGGUCCAGGCUCACGCCAUCC
rnacentral:ncRNA from 1 species